UACGAAGGGGGCGAGCGUUGUUCGGAAUUACUGGGCGUAAAGGGCGCGCAGGCGGCUCUGAAAGUCAGAUGUGAAAGCCCCGGGCUUAACCUGGGAAUUGCAUUUGAUACUCUGGAGCUUGAGUGUGGGAGAGGAGAGUGGAAUUCCCAGUGUAGAGGUGAAAUUCGUAGAUAUUGGGAAGAACACCGGUGGUGUAAACGGCUUUCUGGACCAUAACUGACGCUGAGGCACGAAAGCGUGGGUAGCAAACAGG
rnacentral:rRNA from 1 species